UCUCCGUAGGUGAACCUGCGGAGGGAUCAUUACCAGAGAUGGCGGGCCUCCGUGCCCCCGUCCCCAACCCAUUGUUGACCAAAACCUUUUUGCCUCGGGGGCAGAGCGUCCGCCGCCGCCCCCGGAGGACCACCGAACGCUGUCUCUAUACGUCGGAGUAUUGAUUAAAUGAAUGAAAAUUUUCAACAACGGAUCUCUUGGUUCUG
rnacentral:misc_RNA from 1 species